CAUGAAUUAACAAUACCCAUAUGAUUAUCCAACUGUAAAGCAAACCCACAUUGGAUACCUACUGAUACACAAAUGAAGAUCCCUGUCAAUUCCAUGCCCAUUUGUUCUUCUUCAUUUCUUGUUACCAAACCAAACCCACUAACCUCCAAAAACCCAAACCACCCCACCAUGCCUUCAAGACCCUUAGCUCCAACUCCUAGCUUCACUUCUCCAGCUCCAAGUUUCUUCACCAGAACCAGGGUCUUGUUCUUGACCCUGACCAUCUCAGCUUCCAUUGUUAUAUUCCUCUCAAUCCUUUACUUUCUUUAUCACAUCUGGCACUCCCUUGUACACAGAGCUAAAACCAUCCCCUUUGACUCCAGUGCUCCUCUCAAGCUCCAAAGAUUCUCAUACAGAGAGCUAAAGCAAGCCACCAAUGCCUUUGACACUGCCAAUGUCAUAGGCAAAGGUGGGUCAGGUACUGUGUUUAGAGGAAUACUCAGAGAUGGUAAACUCAUCGCUAUAAAGCGUUUGGACACUCUUUCUUUGCAGUCAGAGAGAGAGUUCCAGAAUGAGCUGCAGAUUCUUGGUGGCCUAAGGUCACCAUUUUUAGUCACACUAUUGGGAUACUGUGUGGAAAAGAACAAAAGAGUGUUGGUUUAUGAGUAUAUGCCCAAUAAGAGCCUGCAAGAAUCACUUUUUGGAGAUGGGUGUUUGGGUUUGAGUUGGGAAAGGAGGUUUGACAUAAUAUUGGACGUUGCUAGAGCUCUAGAAUUCUUGCACCUUGGAUGUGAUCCACCAGUGAUUCAUGGUGAUAUUAAGCCCAGCAAUGUUUUGCUUGAUUCUGAGUGUCGGGCAAGGAUUUCGGAUUUUGGUUUGUCAAGGAUUAAGGUGGAGGGUGAGUUUGGUGUGGAUUUGUUCAGCCAGGACUUGGGGAAGAGCCAAGAGCUUUCAGGGAAUUUGGCUGCAGAGACACCAGCUACUGCUACUCCUGUGGAGAGUGCUCAUGAGGUAGAUUUUGCUCUUGCUUUACAAGCUUCCUCUUCAUCCAAAAAUAGUAAGAUGUCUUAUAAUGUUAGAGCUUUAAACUUGAAUUCUUCGAAUUAUAAUGCUAACAUGGCAAAUGAGAGUGAUAUUAAGCCUUGUAGUGCAAAAGGGAAGGAGGUCUCAGUAGUAGACAUUGGUGGGGAUGAUUGGAAUAAUAGAUUUGUGCCUUAUGAUGAUGACUUUUCUAGCAUUUAUCAUAGUAAGGAGUUGAAUUGUAAUGCAUUUUCGGGUGUUGAUGAGGAGGCUGAUACAAAACAAUGGGGGAAGGAUUGGUGGUGGAGGCAGGAUGGGAGUGGUGAAUUGUGUAGUAAGGAUUAUGUUAUGGAGUGGAUAGGGAGUCAGAUUUGCCCAACAACAAAUCCUGAUUGGGAUGAAGAAAAGAAGAGUGUUCCUGAGCAAAACAACUUGGAUGAUUCGACUCCGUUAGAUAAAUUAGAAGAUGUGAAUGAUCCCCAAUUACAAGAAAUUGGAUUUGAAGAUCUUGAUAAAGGGUUGGAUAAAAAAGAGUCAAGGGGCAAGAGAAGUCGUAAGAAGAAGCAGAGAAAGAUACAAGAGUGGUGGAAAGAAGAGCACCUUGAUGAGAUUAGCAAGAAGAGUAGUAAGCUUAAAAAUCUUGAAACCAAGUGGAGGAAAGGCUUCAAAAUACCACAUUUUGGUCUUGGUAGACAGUUUUACUUCCAUAGACGAAAGAACUUUGGGGAGCAAUGUCAAAAUGAAUGUGAUCCAAAUGGGGAGUUCAGUUUUAGAAGGGGAUGGAAGAAAAAGAGCAGCCGUUCUAUUGGCAGUGACAUGUGGAGUGGAGAUCUCUUUAGUCGUGAACUUAGCAGUACCACAAGUAUGAGAGGGACUUUGUGCUAUGUGGCACCAGAAUAUGGUGGGUGCGGGUACUUAAUGGAGAAGGCUGAUAUUUACAGUCUAGGAGUUUUGAUUCUUGUGAUUGUAUCUGGUCGAAGGCCAUUACAUGUUCUUGCCUCCCCAAUGAAGCUUGAGAAAGCAAACUUAAUAAGCUGGUGUCGUCAGUUAGCUCAAGUGGGAAAUGUUUUAGAACUUGUGGAUGAGAGGUUGAAAGAUGAUUAUAAUAAGGACCAGGCAGGCUUGUGUAUAAACCUGGCUCUCACUUGCUUACAGAAAUUGCCAGAGUUGCGGCCAGAUAUUGGUGAAAUAGUUAAGAUAUUGAAAGGGGAGAUGGAUCACCCACCACUCCCACUUGAGUUUUCUCCUCCCCCCUCUUCCAAAUUGUUCAGUAGGUCAAGGAGAAAACAGAAGUCAAAUGCAGAGUAAACUCUGGAUCCUAAUGUUGAUUUACUUUUUCCUUACCAUGUCUUAUUGGGUUCAUGCUGAGUGUAAUAUACAGGAGUGAUGAUUGGUAGCUGUUAUCAGUGAACAGAUUCAGCUGCACUCUUGGAUCAUUGAAAGCAGAUAUUUGAGAAAAGCAAGCUGCCAUCUUUGAGAAAUUGCAUCAAAAUUUGGCAGUCAAUUCAUGAAAUAUAAAGUCUUCGAGGGUAUGCAACAAAGUGGAUAAUUUGAGGUGCAUGUUUCUUGGUUCUAUUAUUUGUAGUCGAAGUGCCUUACAAAAUUGAUAUGAAUUGGUAAAGCAAAUUUGAUAGGAAGGAAGACAACGGAUAUAUAUUUGUCUUCAACUUAGUAAAUUUUCAUUUAAGGGAUACUUUCCCUGCUUGUACCGGUAGAGCAGGUAGGUCCACCAUAACCAUAGUAAUUAAGGCGAUUUCUAUUUCAUCAGACAAUUUAUUCCAUAUUUAAAUGCAGAA